rnacentral:rRNA from 1 species
UACGGAGGGAGCUAGCGUUGUUCGGAAUUACUGGGCGUAAAGCGCGCGUAGGCGGCUAUUCAAGUCAGAGGUGAAAUCCCGGAGCUCAACUCCGGAACUGCCUUUGAAACUAGAUAGCUAGAAUCUUGGAGAGGUGAGUGGAAUUCCGAGUGUAGAGGUGAAAUUCGUAGAUAUUCGGAAGAACACCGGUGGCGAAGGCGGCUCACUGGCUCGUUUCUGACGCUCAGGCGCGAUAGCGUGGGGAUCAAACAGG